rnacentral:snoRNA from 1 species
CCCGCCACUGUACCGGUCUGUCCCGUGACCCGAGUUUAGUCCAGUGGAGGCUCAGAGCGACCCGGCUUUAGGAAACAGGGCGGCCCGCGCCGAUGGACCGUUCUGUGCCGAAAAGUCCGGAACAAAU